UUUCUGUACUUCCCACUACGGAUCGUUCGGCACGUACCUGCCGAUGGAGGAAAAACGA
rnacentral:ncRNA from 1 species